rnacentral:rRNA from 1 species
GACGUAGGGGGCGAGCGUUGUCCGGAUUCACUGGGCGUAAAGCGCGCGUAGGCGGCUCGUUAAGUCGGAUGUGAAAACCCGGGGCUCAACCCCGGGCCUGCACCCGAUACUGGCGGGCUGGAGGCAGGUAGGGGAGAUCGGAAUUCCCGGUGUAGCGGUGAAAUGCGCAGAUAUCGGGAGGAACACCGGUGGCGAAGGCGGAUCUCUGGGCCUGUCCGUGACGCUCAGGCGCGAAAGCUAGGGGAG